AUGGCUCGCUCACCUGCCGAGUUCGUCUUGCUCCUUAUGGCAGCGGCAAUCUGGAGCUUCUUCCUCGUCGCCGGCGCAGGGCAGCUCCAGCCGAGCUGCAUAGGGCGCGAGAGGGACGCGUUGCUGGCCUUCAAGCAAGGCGUCAGCGACGACCCCAAGGACUACCUUGGGUCGUGGCGACAAGAGCGCCAAGAUUGCUGCCAAUGGGCAGGCAUCACCUGCGACAACGUAACUGGCCAUGUCGUCGAGCUUGACCUUGGCCAAGGAAAUUAUUUGGCCGGCCAGAUAAGUCCUUCCUUGCUCUCUCUAGAGCAUCUCGAGUACCUCAAUCUCUGGGGCACGGGACUGUGUGGGCCUGGUGGUCGUGUUCCAGAGUUCUUGGGUUCCUUAAAGAACUUGAAGUAUCUUGAUCUGUCCGGCAUGUCUUUCUCUGGUAUGGUGCCUCCUCAGUUUGGCAACCUGUCAAAGCUAGAAUACCUCGACCUAUCCCGCAUACAUUUCAACAAUACGCAGAUGGUCUUAACAGACAUCUCAUGGUUAACCCGUCUACCUCUGUUGGUGCAACUUGAUAUGAGUCUUAUCAACCUCAGCUCAAUAGCCGAUUGGCCUCUUGUUGUGAACAAGAUUCCAUCUUUGAAGUUGCUCCGUCUUGUUGAGUGCUCGCUUUCAAGUGCAAACCAAUCCCUCACACACCUAAACCUCACAAAUCUUCAUAACCUUGAUCUCUCCUUUAACCACUUUGGUCAUCCAAUCGCGUCCGGAUGGUUUUGGAACUUAACAAGCAUCAAGGACCUCAGCCUUGCUAGUAACUAUCUGUAUGGUCCAUUUCCUGAUGCACUCGCAAAUAUGACAUCCCUCCAAUGGUUAGAUUUGCAAGACAUGGGUAACAAAGCCACAAUGACAGUGGACUUGAAAAACCUAUGUGAUUUGGAAGAGCUAUGGCUUGAUGGAAGCCUCUCCUCUGGAAACAUAACAGAGUUUCUAGAUAAAUUGCCACAAUGUCCAUCCAACAAAUUGCAGUACUUGUACUUGAGCAGCAACAAUAUGGCUGGAAUUCUUUCCAACAGAAUGGGGCACUUAACCAACCUAUUUUGGUUCGACAUUUCUUACAAUAACAUUACUGGAGCUAUACCGCUAGGCAUUGGGAAUCUCUCUUGUUUACAAAGCCUUGUUCUUUCUAACAAUUUUCUUACUGGUGCUAUACCGCUAGGCAUCGGGAAUCUCUCUUCUUUAGAAGCUGUUUAUCUUUCUAACAAUUUUCUUACUGGUGCUAUACCGCUAGGCAUCGGGAAUCUCUCUUCUUUAGAAGUUCUUUAUCUUUCUAACAACCUUCUUACUGGAGCUAUACCGCUAGAGUUGGGAAAUUGCACUUAUGUCUAUCUCUCAAAUAACAAAUUUAGUGGACCUAUACAACUAGGGAUAGAGCACUGCACUACAUUAGAAGAACUUGACCUUUCUGAUAACAAUAUUACUGGAGUUAUACCCCCAUGGUUGGGGAAUUGCACUAGUUUGAGGCACCUUUCUCUUUCUAAUAACCUUCUCGUUGGACAUGUCCCAUCUAAGAUCACCUUGCUUGGCAAUUUGACUGAACUCGCCCUUGGCAACAAUAAUCUAGAUGGUGUGAUCACGGAGGAACACCUAGUUGCUCUAAAGAACUUAGAACACCUUGAUCUAUCACACAAUUCUUUCUCUGGUCCUAUGCCAUUAGAGUUUGGAGCUUACAAAUGA
rnacentral:rRNA from 1 species